GCGAGACUGCCCUCGAGCGAAAUCAAAUGAACGAGGCCCCCUCGACUCCUUUCUCGAUCUGUUUCCUAGGGUGUGAACGCCGCCGCCGCUGAUCCCAUCUUCCCCGGCGACAUGCCUCGCCGGCGGCCUCCUCUCUCCCAUCCACGCCGGCGACCUCCCUCUACCCCGCCCUCUUCGUCAACCCGUCUCUCCAGCAGCUCGGGCGAAACCCUUGCCCACCCGAUGCUACAGCGACCUAGCAGGCAGGCGGGAGGCCCCCUCGACUCCUUUCUCGAUCUGUUUCCUAGGGUGUGAACGCCGCCGCCGCCGAUCCCAUCUUCCCCGGCGACAUGCCUCGCCGGCGGCCUCCUCUCCCCCAUCCACGCCGGCGACCUCCCUCUACCCCGCCCUCUUCGUCAACCCGUCUCUCCAGCAGCUCGGGCGAAACCCUUGCCCACCCGAUGCCACAGCGACCUAGCAGGCAGGCGGGAGGAGCCUUGCCCGGCCAUGGCGACACCGCCGGCGGCCUCCUCCUCCCCCUCACCUUCUCUCCCUCUCCCAAGGGAGGGAAGGGAAUGGAAGGGAUCCGACGGCAAAGGGAGGCAGCGCCUAGAUCCGCAGCCGCACCGGCGGGCCGCCGUCCCUCGAGGUCGUCCAUGGAGGUCCGACCCUCCCUUUAGCCAUGGACUGAGACGCCCGAAACCCUAGCUACCCGUGGAGGUCCAACGCCUCAACCUCCAAGGAAAGGACGCGCGCCGGCUGCAGGCCAUCUCCGGCGACCUCCGACCAUGGUUGCUCGGAUCUGGACCAGCUGCUGCUCCUACUGCUUCAGGUGGACGAGGACGAGCCCUCCCUCAUGGCUGCUGCGGCUGCCUACUCCCUUGGUCACCACGCCCCUCCCGUGCCUGGGGUCUCCUUUCUCUCCCGCAGCGGCCGCAGUAGGCGCGUGUGGCUAGAAGGGUUGAGGGAGCGAGGUCAGUGCCCUCAGGGCGGACGCGGCUGGAGGUCAACGACGAGCAAGGGGCACGGCGGCGGCAGGUGGCUGCUGUAGCAGAACCAGCCAUCUUCCCGAUCCAGGCUGCCCAGGCAGGUUCCAGCCGGGCAUCCGCUGGCCUCGCGCAUAAAUGUAUCAGGAAUGAGCCGGCCGUUCUACAGUUUGGAAUAUAAUCGGAGGAAGAGCGGAGGAAAGUGGACCAUGAACAAUGGCGUGGCUCCGUAAUGUGGGACACCUCGCCAUUGAGGCGACCGACGGCUGCAUAUCCCACACCACACUUACCAUCUGCACGGGGGGCCAUGGCCAAGCGAUGAAUUUUGCUCUGCACCUAGCUGGGAGUUUCUGCCUUGGCCUGCUCUUGACCAGCGGGAUGUGAACAUUGUCCGAGGUUGCCAAACCAGAUGAAAGAACAGGGAAAGACAUUGAGCUCACUGCCAAAGAUUGUUAUUCUGCGAAGAUAUAUCUCAUCUCUAAUUAUAGUAUUUCGUAGUGUCAUGCUGAUUAUAUAGUUCAUCUUUGGCCUUGCACCGUGGUUGUGGUAAUAUUUGUUGUUUUUUCCUACCUGUACAGUUUAGGUCGGGUUUGAUCAUCUCCCCAGUACCCCAUGCCUGGCUCCCUUAAUGUUCAUAUUCCACAUUUCCUUUUUCACUAACCAGUCUCUCCAGUCUGACCUAUGCGUUUGUGUUAAUGUGUCAACAAACUUACUUUAUUUGAAAACUAGACAUUGCAUUUCAAAAUUCGUUACAGUAUAAAGAACAAGAAAUCCAUCAUUGCAAAGAUGACAAAUAUAUAACAAAAGCAUGCACUGAACUAUUCCGAUUGUUUUUUUUAGAAUAACAAACUCAUGAGUUGGUUCAGGUAGAUAUGUGACUAUGUCAUCGACAUCGAUAUAACAAUAUAUAUUCAUUGGUCCAUUUCAAACAAUCAGAAUAUAUACUUAUGUGAAGCAGAGAGGGCACCAUGGCGAAGGUGAGGUGGGCAUCAUCCAGUUUUAAAGGGGAGGGCUCCAGCAAGAAAUGUACCGCUACGGCGAGAAACCGAGCUGGAAAGGGAGCGUCCAGCAGAAAAAUGGCAGGGUGCGUCAGGGGGUGGCAUUUUGCAGAAUGGUCUGGGGAGGUUCGCAACAUUGUCUACUCAUCUGAUGGGAAAAUCUCUAUCUGUUGCGUAUCGUGUGACUAUGGAACUGAUGCAGAGGUGCCCUUCUUUGCUUGGGAGUUUGAAUCCGGGAUUCUACGGAUGUUCUCCCAUAACCUCUUGAAGUGAUGCAAUGCGACGAUCUUCAACCAUGAAAAUGAAACUGCCAGCGUGGACGGAAACUGCCAGCAUGGACGGCCUACUCCUAUGAUCUCACAGGUUCUUGCUUACACUGGGAAUGAUGAGGCUAACAAGUUUUUCCUUGGAGGUGAGAUGUCACUUGACAACACGAAGCUUCAGCUGCAGCAGCGUCUUGCCUGCGUCAUAUAUUUUGUAUUAUGUUUUUGUGGGCAUGGUUCUGAACUUUGGCAUCGAUGGAUAGAAUUUCGUCCAAACUAUAAUGUUGUUGUUCAAGUGUAGGAUAAUUCGUUUUGAUGUCUCUGUUGUGUGUGCGCGGGCAUGUGCCAAAGGCGUCUAAUAGAACCCAGGUGAAGGCGAAGGAGGUUUGGCUCUCAGACAUGUGUAACACUCGAUGAUAACAACGUGCAGACUGAAAAUAUGGAUCCCAAGUUCAAAGCCAUAUCCAAUUAGUUUGUCUCUCAAAAAAAAUACAACAAAUGCUAAAGGAUGAUUUACCCAUGGAGGCAUGGACCGAGAUUGCUUUAAUUUGGUCGUACGGAAGAUUAUGUUUGAUGACAUCCAAAUGGCACAAAAAACAAAACAAUUGAUAGACAAACAUUAUCUCGACAUGAAAUUUUGGACUUGCUUGCUGGUGGCUGGUGCCCUGCAGGGACCAGGUGGUGCCGUCGGCCGCGGCGCCGCCGCCACCGUCGUUGCAGCAGCUAGGCCGGGAGUAGCCGAGCAGGGGAGAAGCAUAAUUGUUUUCUAUAUUCUGCUCCUCCCACCGACCAGUUGAGGGUUGGAGUCAUCGGACAGCGCCGUCAGGCGUCAGCUAAGUUAAAGAAUUGAGAAUUGGACGACUGGCCGGUUCGUACGGCUGCUCUUAGUGCUCUGCCGAUUUGGCCUUC